GCGUCAGGAAGAGAUAAAAUGUUGGAGAAAAUAAAGGUGACUUACAAAUACUCCGUGUGAUGACACUGUUCUGGAACAGUUAAAUCUGUCAGUAGUUAUGGGAAGCCGUGAAUCAUGAGAAGAGUGCUUCAGGACUGAGGGCAGCUGAUACUACUCAACAAACUGUGGCUAACAGCACUCAAAAAAGCAACCAGUAGCAACCAGCCACCAACCAAGAGCCCACCAACUGCUUGGAGACCUAGCAUUUAUAUACCCUCUGGAAGGUAUCCAGAUGUCCAAAUGUCAAAUAAUCACAAAAACUAUAUAUUGCUAGCAAAAUCCACCCUUCUAGAGCACGAGUUAAGUCAUUGUCAGCUGCUGUGGACAAUCUGAAGCAGCCCCGUAUUCCACUCUUCGUAUUAAAAACAUAUUUUCAUACUG